UACGUAGGGGGCAAGCGUUGUCCGGAAUCAUUGGGCGUAAAGCGCGUGUAGGCGGCUAGGUAAGUCUGCUCUGAAAGCCCGGGGCUCAACCCCCGGGAGGCGGGUGGAUACUGUCUAGCUCGAGUCCGGAAGAGGAGUGUGGAAUUCCUGGUGUAGCGGUGAAAUGCGCAGAUAUCAGGAGGAACACCAAUGGCGAAGGCAGCACUCUGGGACGUGACUGACGGCUGAGACGCGAAAGCGUGGGGAGCAAACAGG
rnacentral:rRNA from 1 species